UCUUCCGUAGUAUAGUGCUCAGUAUGUGAGCUUGUCAUCUCCGCUCUGGAGGUAUCGUCGCUCGAGACCCGGGUUCAAUUCCCGGCGGGAGAG